rnacentral:ncRNA from 1 species
UCUCAGCGCAUGGCGCAGGACGACGUCGCGGAAGCGCACGCCCUUCAGCCGGGCGGUGCGGAUGUAUUGCUGGGUCAUCACCUCGGUCAUCGAGGCCCGCGUCAUCCGGGCGAUAUAGCCGAUGCCGUAAAGCGCGAUCGUCAUCACCGGCAGGCCGAAGUUCCAGAAGGUG